AUGGAAGAGGCGGGAGGAACGCUCCGGAAAAAACUUUCGCACAGGAAGACGCGCCACGUCCUUUGUUGGUGAAAAUUCAGGUAUUCCCGAUCUGGUGAAUUUUCGAGAAGACAAGAAAAAGGCGAAAUUGUUGGGAGACAGAGGGUGGUUCAAAGGCGACUUUGCUGUUUGUACAGAUUGCUGCUUUGGAGGCACGGCCACCUUCUGCAACCUGGGUGGCUGCUACCUUAGCAACUAUGUGGGGAGUGACUUAUGUGGAGACGGAGUCUUUUGCUGGACAGGGUCGAAGAUACUGUGCUGGUGGUAACGCAUUGAAUUAUUACUUUCCGGACAGAAGUAUUGUUUAGAAGAGCGCUGGUUUAUGGGAAUUUCGUAUGUUUGGUUCCGGAGUGUUAACGGUGUAUGUGCAUGCGUGUGUUGUAGAUAGGUAAUGGUUAAAAGUGAACCAGUAAGAACUGGGUUGGGGCACCGCAUUGUGCAGUUAUGUAUGGUGUUGUAGUGUGUUUAAACUCUUGAAAAAAAAUGAUUUUAAAAAAGUAGUUUACUGUCUAAUAGACCGACCCUGACUGUCCACCACAAUUAGCAGAUCAACCAAUGGCAGCAAGGCA